rnacentral:lncRNA from 1 species
CCUACUCCCAUGCUUCUGGGGAUUUACACUUUUGCUGAUCAGCUGGACAAGCACCAACAGUGGAAAUCCUCCUGGCAAACAGAAAGAACACAGUCUCCAGAGUCAGACUGACCCAAGGACUGCACAAGCGUCAUCUUUUAUUUCCUGUGCCAUCUGGCUCAAACUACUCCAAGCUCUUUCCACGUCUCAAUAACUUUGUCUGUGAAAUGAAGCUAUAAGAAAACCAAAGAAAGGGAAGCCAUGUCCUUUCCACUAUGAAGGCUUUCAAAGGAAAGGAAAUAGGACACUGGCUGGAAUUCAGCCACAAAGCUUGAAUCCACAUGGUGACACUUUGAGAGAUCUUCAAAGUUCCUGCCCUCGGGGAAGUAGAUUCUCUAAGCAAGUCAUCUGGCAGAAGAACCCACUGGCAAAAUCUACUGAAAGAGGAUAAUGUAAAAUGACAGCUGUAAUGUUUUUGCAAAAGUUGAAGGCUCUUCCCUUCUAAGAAGGAUGAAGCAAGGAAAAACAUUGACUUUCACAGGAAAAGUCCACAUCCAAAUGAUGAGGGAAAAAAUAAAGAAAAAAUUCAGGACAAAUCUGAGUAGGAAAAUGUAAGAGGCACUAGAGAAGGAAGAAAAAAGAAUAUGAGAAGGAAGAAGAGAAUGAGUAAAAGAUGAAUGAGAGGGGCCGGGGAUUUAGCUCAGUGGUUCUGCCGCCUGCCUCGCAAGCGCAAGGACCCGAGUUCAUUCCCCGGUACAAAAAAAAAAAAAAAAAAGAUGAAUGAGAAAAUAAGAUUGUGUAACAGCAUAAAUAUUUCCUGGCACAAUACAGGCACUCAGUAUAUGUUUUGAAUCAAUAAUUCUAUUGACCAGGCUUUUCAAAGAGUUGUAAAAAGUAGAAUCAAAAUGUAUUGUCUACAUUGAGGUCUUUGAUGUUUCUAAAUAGGAACAAUAAAUAUUCUUUAGUAUAGG